UGGGUACCAUUUUGCCCUGGUGCGGGCGGUACCCGGCCGGGCGCUGCCCGCCCUGCGCCAUUUUGGUCGCCAUCCGGCUUCGGGGAGCCUCAUGCCCGGUUCCCUGAGGCGUAGAGGGCUUAGCCGGUGGCUUCAUGGAAUCGUCCCACGAUAGAAGAGUGGUUUUGGGUUUUUUUCAAGUUACUCUUUAAUGCCCGUAUAGUGCUGUCACGGUUUAACGCUGGGCUGGCAAUUAACAAAAUGGUAUGGCGGAGUGGAAGUUCUCAGUGGUGUCCAAUGCAUUGUACAGAAGCACUAAGCCCUUCAUGGAAACACCAUCAGAAGUAGAAGAAUACUUGGUACACACAAGUGGAUUUUCCUGAAAGCUAUGUUUCUAGAAUGGCAUGAAAAACCUCUAAUGGAUCAGGCAUCCUGAUGAAAGACUUUCUGGCAACUGUAGUAAAACAGAGGGAAAUGGUCAAAAUGGAACAACUGCUAUUUAGCUUGUUCAGCAAUGAGUUGGAACACUUUGUCAUUGCUACCUGACAAAUAUAGAUCAUCUGUAACUGGAAGGAGAUGUAAUGCCUGAAGAGUUUUUGUGGCUUGGAGUGGGAUGUCAUGCUUUUUUAAAGCCUACCAUGGCAGCUGCUGUGAUUUUUGUUUAGCGAAUGCUGCUUUCAGAAAUUGCAUGUGAACCAAAUCACUGUCUCUGCAUAAUUAAAAUAGAAGUUUUCCCAAUACACUGAGCUGCCCUCUGUAGGAAUCAUAGCAGAAAUGGUGGGGAAACAAGUGCUGAAUUUCAAUAUGUGGGAAACUGCCUGAGAGCCCUUUUAAAAUAAUGGUUAUACAAACUUUCUCACAACAAAGAUCUGUAAUUCAGAACAAUGGAAUUCGUAAGUAGGCCCUGCAAAGGAAAAGAAAGCAAAAUGAAUACACAAAUUCAAACCGCAGAGUCUCAUUUUUGAGGGUGGUGUCAUUAGGAGAAAGAAAGAAAUUCAGGUCUCAUGAAGAAAAGUAGUUAUAAAACAGCAAGGUCUAAAGCUUGCAUUGCUGUCUGUACCUAGUAAGGGGUAGGGAAGAACUGGGGUUUUAUGGUCUGCCACUGUAGCAUGAAAAGAAAGGCCCAUACUGCAGUAAUGGAACUGCCCUUUGAGGAAUAUGCUGACAGUUUUGCCAGGUUGCUGUGGGGAAAAGAGGUCAGCAGAAGAAGGGAGUGCAUACAUUGCAUACAACUUGUGCUUUGAGCAGUCACUUGAAAACUAGCAAUACUGUACCACAUCUGCUGUCUUCAGGAAAUUUGCACUCUUCCACAGGGGAAUGAAGGAUCAUAAAUUGGUUGCCAAGUAAAUGGGAUUUUAAUGACAAACUAUUAUGUACAUAAGAUGCAACCUGCCUGUUAAAGUAUGACUCUAAAGCUUAAUUGUCAGGAAUGCUUUACAAAGGGACAAAUGUGAGGAUGGUAUGAUACCUAAAUGAUAGAGCUACAGUUACAGAAUAAUUUCAAAAUGCAACAAAAUCAAGGAAAAUUACCCUGUAGCCUGCAGCAAAGAAGUGGCAGCAUAAGAUGCCAGUAGGUCUCUUCCUUUAGAGUUCAUGGAAUGUGCCUAUUUCUAAAUAACAAAUUGCAUGAAAAGCCUGAUUUUCUGUUGAGCAGUAUAAUGAAGUGCAGAACUAGCAGUAGCAGUGCCUAAGGUGCUGGGAAUGUCAAAAAGGUAUCCAUCUGACCAUUAAAAUGUAAUGUAUAGAUCUGACUGAACUCCAGGCAGAUAUUGGCUCAAUGAGCAUCUCCUAUGCUUUGGUUAUUGUUAAUAAACAAUAAUGAGCUA